GCCGUUGCUCGAGAAACGAACCGAGCGUCCAACGACGAUGUGGUAAUUCUCACAGCUAAAUAUUAGUAGGAAAAAGGUCAGGAGAUAACUACAAAAAAUAGAGAGAGAACCCUCUAAUGUGAAUCCGAAAAUGGCUUUAAUAGCGACGAGAACGAAGCUCUCUCGACUUCUCUCUUCUGGCUGUAUCUCCAAUGGUGGGAUACGGGUUGGUCCGUUUGGGAAAUUCGGGGCAAUGUGUUGGUCCACUGCUGUUGCUGCGGUUGAGCCGGGGCCUGUGGGAUUGGGGAUGUUGGGACUGAAGGACUAUGAGGAUUAUAGGAGGUCUUUGUAUGGCGAGAUCACUCACAAGGCCUUGUUGGUUGACGCUGCUGGCACACUUCUUGUUCCUUCUCAGCCUAUGGCUCAGAUUUAUAGGUCUAUUGGCGAGAAAUAUGGGGUGAAGUACUCAGAGGACGAGAUAUUGAACAGAUACAGAAGGGCUUAUGACCAGCCUUGGGGUAGAUCUCGUCUCAGAUAUGUUAACGAUGGGAGGCCCUUCUGGCAAUAUAUAGUCAGUUAUUCCACUGGCUGUUCGGAUGCUCAGUACUUUGAAGAACUCUAUAACUACUAUACCACUGACAAGGCUUGGCACCUUUGUGAUCCUGAUGCUGAGAAAGUAUUUAAAGCUCUUAGAAAAGCGGGUGUGAAGCUGGGUGUCGUGUCAAAUUUUGACACUCGAUUAAGACCUCUGUUGCAAGCUCUAAAUUGUGAUAAUUGGUUUGAUGCUCUGGCAGUGUCUGCUGAAGUUGAAGCAGAGAAGCCAAAUCCAACUAUAUUUCUAAAAGCUUGCGAUUUGUUAGGAGUAGAGCCUGAGGAUGCUGUACAUGUAGGGGAUGACCGUAGGAAUGAUAUAUGGGGUGCCAGAGAUGCAGGUUGUGAUGCUUGGCUAUGGGGAAGUGAUGUUCACUCUUUUAAGGAGGUGGGUUUCUUCCAAAUCUAUCACUUUAAUGUGAAUUACUUGGUAUGAGAGUGCUUUGGCCAUGAAAUCUUUAUCAUUCCCAUAAACAACCAAAGCAAGAGAACAUAAUGUGCAAUCUCCAGUUCAUAUUCUUCUAGAUGCUUCCAGUAAUUCUUGCAGUUGUGUUUUUGAGCACAGUGUGUAUGCGUGUGUGCGUGUUGGGAUAUUAAAAUCAUUGUUUGUUGAAUCUGGCUCCGAUCCACUAUUGAAAAUCUUCAAGUCUACCAGAUCUCCAUUUUAGCUUCUUUCAUUCUCCUUCAUAAAUUCUUCCCAUUCUAAAGUUAAAAAUGAGGGUUGUAUCACGUGUAUGGGUGAGUAGAAGAAUAGAUAUGAUAAUUCUGAAGAAAAGAUUACUUACAAUUUCCAAUUGGAAGUUAGAAGAUCUAACAUGCUUUUCAUGGAUUUUGAGGAACCAUCCUCACUGAAAAAGAAAACAAAAAAGAAAAGAGGGAAUUUCCUAUACUUGAAUGGGAAAAUGUGGGUGAUUUGCCUGAGAUGCUGUAACCAUGUGCAUUUCUGGAGUUCCAAGUGUGUUGGCAAAACUGUUGGCUUCAUAUUGGCAAUUAUGGGGUUUAAUAUUUCAAGAAAUUUUGGUCAAGUGAAAUUAACUUUGAUAUGGUGACAA